rnacentral:rRNA from 1 species
ACGUGACUGUGAAUCGAGCCCAUGUGAAGCCUCUUCGAUGAGUCGAGUUGUUUGGGAAUGCAGCUCAAAAUGGGUGGUAAAUUUCAUCUAAGGCUAAAUACUGGCUGGAGACCGAUAGCGCACAAGUAGAGUGAUCGAAAGAUGAAAAGCACUUUGGAAAGAGAGUUAAAAAGUACGUGAAAUUGUUGAAAGGGAAGCGCUUGCAACCAGACCUGUCCGUAGGUGAUCGGCCGCUGUUUUCAGCGGUUUACUCGCUCUGCGAUCAGGCCAGCAUCGGUUCGGACGGUCGGAUAAAGGCCUUGGGAAUGUAGCUUCCUUCGGGGAGUCUUAUAGCCCUCGGUGCAAUGCGGCCAGUCGGGACCGAGGACCGCGCUUAGGCUAGGAUGCUGGCGUAAUGGUUGUAAGCGACCCGUCUUGAAACACGGACCAAGGAGUCUAACAUCUAUGCGAGUGUUUGGGUGUGAAACCCAUGCGCGGAAUGAAAGUGAAUGGAGGUGAGAACCCUUAAGGGCGCAUCAUCGACCGAUCCAGAUGUCUUCGGAUGGAUUUGAGUAUGAGCAUAGCUGUUGGGACCCGAAAGAUGGUGAACUAUGCCUGAAUAGGGUGAAGCCAGAGGAAACUCUGGUGGAGGCUCGCAGCGGUUCUGACGUGCAAAUCGAUCGUCAAAUUUGGGUAUAGGGGCGAAAGACUAAUCGAACCAUCUAGU